AGGACCGGUUUUGACGCCGUUCGAUUGCGUCACGAACGUUCGACGUGCGGAAUCCGUGAACGUGCGUGACCGAACACAAUAACGUACUAGAGAGAGAAAGUCUAGAGAGAGAAAACUCUCUACACGUGAUUUUUGUAUCAUACACGUCAUCUUAAUCAAUAGAAUCACGUUUCUAGUACGUUAUUGUGUGUUCGGUCACGCACGUUCACGGAUUCCGCACGUCGAACGUUCGUUACGCAAUCGAACGGCGUCAAAACCGGUCCU
rnacentral:pre_miRNA from 2 species